rnacentral:rRNA from 1 species
GACGAAGGGGGCUAGCGUUGUUCGGAAUUACUGGGCGUAAAGCGCGUGUAGGCGGUUGUCCAAGUUGGAUGUGAAAGCCUUGAGCUCAACUCAAGAAAUGCAUUCAGGACUGGAUGACUAGAGGACCGGAGAGGAUAGUGGAAUUCCCAAUGUAGUGGUGAAAUACGUAGAGAUUGGGAAGAACACCAGUGGCGAAGGCGGCUAUCUGGACGGUUUCUGACGCUAAGACGCGAAAGCGUGGGGAGCAAACAGG